rnacentral:rRNA from 1 species
UGGAGAGUUUGAUCCUGGCUCAGAUUAAACGCUGGCGGCAGGCCUAACACAUGCAAGUCGAGCGGAAACGAGUUAUCUGAACCUUCGGGGAACGAUAACGGCGUCGAGCGGCGGACGGGUGAGUAAUGCCUAGGAAAUUGCCCUGAUGUGGGGGAUAACCAUUGGAAACGAUGGCUAAUACCGCAUAAUGCCUACGGGCCAAAGAGGGGGACCUUCGGGCCUCUCGCGUCAGGAUAUGCCUAGGUGGGAUUAGCUAGUUGGUGAGGUAAUGGCUCACCAAGGCGACGAUCCCUAGCUGGUCUGAGAGGAUGAUCAGCCACACUGGAACUGAGACACGGUCCAGACUCCUACGGGAGGCAGCAGUGGGGAAUAUUGCACAAUGGGCGCAAGCCUGAUGCAGCCAUGCCGCGUGUGUGAAGAAGGCCUUCGGGUUGUAAAGCACUUUCAGUCGUGAGGAAGGUAGUGUAGUUAAUAGCUGCAUUAUUUGACGUUAGCGACAGAAAGAAGCACCGGGCUAACUCCGUGCCAGCAGCCGCG